rnacentral:rRNA from 1 species
GGGCCCGCACAAGCAGUGGAGCAUGUGGUUUAAUUCGAUGCAACGCGAAGAACCUUACCAGGCCUUGACAUCCCCGGAACUUUCUAGAGAUAGAUUGGUGCCUUCGGGAACCGGGUGACAGGUGCUGCAUGGCUGUCGUCAGCUCGUGUCGUGAGAUGUUGGGUUAAGUCCCGUAACGAGCGCAACCCUUGUCCUUAGUUGCCAGCACGUAAUGGUGGGAACUCUAUGGAAACUGCCCGUGAUAAGCGGGAGGAAGGUGUGGAUGACGUCAAGUCCUCAUGGCCCUUACGGGUUGGGCUACACACGUGCUACAAUGGUAUCUACAACAGGAAGCAAAACUGCGAAGUUAAGCA